AUUGAACGCUGGCGGCAUGCCUUACACAUGCAAGUCGAACGGUAACAGGGAGCUUGCUCCGCUGACGAGUGGCGAACGGGUGAGUAAUGUAUCGGAACGUACCUUUUAGUGGGGGAUAACGUAGCGAAAGCUACGCUAAUACCGCAUAUUCUCUGAGGAGGAAAGCAGGGGACCUUCGGGCCUUGCGCUAAUAGAGCGGCUGAUAUCAGAUUAGCGAGUUGGUGAGGUAAAGCGUCACCAAGGCGACGAUCUGUAGCGGGUCUGAGAGGAUGAUCCGCCACACUGGAACUGAGACACGGUCCAGACUCCUACGGGAGGCAGCAGUGGGGAAUUUUGGACAAUGGGGGCAACCCUGAUCCAGCCAUGCCGCGUGAGUGAAGAAGGCCUUCGGGUUGUAAAGCUCUUUCGGCCGGGAAAAAGUCGCAUGGGUUAAUACCCUGUGUGGAUGAUGGUACCGGAAUAAGAAGCACCGGCUAACUACGUGCCAGCCGCCGCCGUAAAAC
rnacentral:rRNA from 1 species